UGCAGGGGAGACAGUCACUGCCGUAUUGUCCUUCCUUCGGGGUUUCUUCUUUCAAGAGGACUGCAGAUUCACACGCACAAUGAGGAGUAACACGAAGAUCCCCGGUGCUGGCCACCGUUCCCUCCACUGGCCACAUCUUGUGGCACUGUGCUGCCUGUAUCCAAGAUCCCAGCCAAGACAGCCUCCAGCCGAUCCCACCGACGCAGACGGCGCGCUCUGCGUGCACCCGCGUGUGCGCUCAGAUCUGUGCGACUCUGUCACGCCUGGAUUCCCGGGGCCACCGGCGCUGCCAAGACACAGACCAUUUCCAUCCACAGGGUCCCUCCGCCCCCCUUCCCCGACCCUGGACAGCCCCUGUCCGCUCUCCCCCUCCACAGAGUGUCACUCCGCAGUGCCGUCUAAAAGGAGUCAUGAGGCCCCUGUGACAGGCUGUCCUCAUUCACAGAGACUCUGAAGCAGCCUCCUCACCAAGCACCAAGCCCAGUGCGGGGCUUGUCCUCACCACCGCAGGAUCACAACCCAGCUGAAACCCAGAAGAGAGAGAGCGGCAGAAGGAGAGGGAGAGAGAGAAUCUUGAGCAAGUUCCACAGUGGAUGCAGAGCUCAAAUGAGGGCUUGAUCUCACAACCCUGAGAUCAUGACCUGAGUCGAACUCAAGAGUUGGACGCUGCAGCGACUAAGCCACCUAGGUGCCCCUUGAUGGAGAUUUUAAAAGGAAAAAAAUACAUAUAUUCCUACCAAAGCUAAGAAGAUAAAAUUUGGAGUCUAAUUAAUUGCUAACUUCAGGGUUCUCUUCAAAAAAUACCCUGAUAUUUGGCCAAUUCUGGUCAAAAAUAGUAAGUUAGGUCUUAUUACAUUAAAAAAAGCAGUUAUUUUGAGCAAAUAUUCUUCAUAAUAAGCAAUCAAGACAUUACACAAAUGUCUUCAAAGAGUAAAUCUGUUAGACAUCUGCGAUUAUAUUUUAUUAU